rnacentral:rRNA from 1 species
GACGAACGCUGGCGGCGUGCUUAACACAUGCAAGUCGAGCGAAGCGGCGGACGGGUGAGUAACACGUGAGUAACCUGCCUUAGACAUUGGGAUAGCCUCGGGAAACCGGGAUUAAUACCAAAUGGUCUAAGAUGGACUCGCGUCCCAUUAGCUAGUUGGUGGGUAACGGCCCACCAAGGCGACGAUGGGUAGCCGGCCUGAGAGGCUGAACGGCCACAUUUGAACUGAGCAACGGUCCAAACUCUACGGGAUGCAGCAGUGGGUAAUAUUGCACAAUGGCGGGAAUUCUGAUGCAGCUACGCCUGGUGAACAAAGAAGGCUUUCGAGUAGUAAAGUUCUUUUAUAUGGGAAGCGGUACCAUAAGAAAAAGCCCCGGCUAACUACGUGCCAGCAGCCGCGGUAAUUC